rfam:Glycine max cultivar Williams 82 chromosome 13, whole genome shotgun sequence.
CGAUAAAUGCAAAGGAGAGCUAAUCGAAACGGGAGAGCAUUCAAAACCCAAAAACCAAAAGCCACAACGGAAAUGGAAAAUGGAAAGGCGUGUAGCAAUGGAAAGUGUGGGACAUCGAAAAUAGUGAAAAAUUUGAAAAGGCGCAUCGGUAACUGAAGGGUUAUCUAGAAAAUGACAAAAGCAAUUAAUGGCAACCGAGAAGACAUUUUUGGGCGGGAAUGAGAAGCGCUGGCAUUGCGACACGUAGGCACUGGCAAUGCCAUGUAGGCAUUGUCAGGGUCUUGUUUGUAUCAUGAUAGAUGAUUUCUCCGCACUAAUUUUGUAACCAUUUCAUCCACCAUAUGAUUCUUUUUUUGUGUGUGUAAAUCAAGAUUAUUUACUAACUUUAUCACACCAUAUUGGUUUCAAUAUAUAGUUCUUAGUUAAAUGGAUUAACAAAUUUUCAUUGUCUUUAUCUACUAUUCACUGAAAUCACCAGCAAGGAAAUAGGCUUGACAGAAUCAACAAGGAAAGAAGACCUUGUUAAGCUUGACUCUAGUCCGACUUUGUAAAAUAACUUGAGAGGUGUAGGAUAAGUGAGAGUUAGAAACAACAAAAGUUAAAUGCCACUAUUUUUAAUGCUAUUUUACUUAUUUCGUGAAUCAAAAGCGGGGCAUUGCCCCUCUUUUUGGACCAAAGGAGUGAAGCACAGACCAAGGAGUCUAACAUGUGUGAGAGUCAAUAGGCAAGUAAACUCGUAAGGCACAAGUUUAUUGGUAGGAUCCCCCUGUGGGUUGCAUCGUUAACUAACCCUGAUCUUCUAUGAAAUGUUCGAGUGAAAGCAUACCUGUUGGGACCCAAAAGAUGGUGAACUAUGCCUAAGUAAGGCAAUGCUAGAGGAAACUCUAGUGGGGGCUCAUAGUGAUACUGACGUGCAAAUCAUUCAUCUAACUUGGGUAUAAGGGUGAAAGAUUAAUUGAACCAUCUAGUAGUUAGUUCCUUCCGAAGUUUCCCUCAAGAUAGAUGAAGCCUGUAGGUGAGUUCUAUCGAGUAAAGCCAAUGUGAUUAGAGGCAUCAAGGGCGCAAUUCCCUCGACCUAUUCUCAAACUUUAAAUAGGUAAGACGACACAACUACUUUUUUGAGUCGUGCCACGGAAUCAAGAGCUCCAAGUGGGUCAUUCUUGGUAAGUAGAACUGACAAUGCGUGAUGAACCAGAAGUUGCGUUACAAUUUCCAAUUGUGCGCUAGCCUAGACUCUACAAAGGGUGUUGGUCAAUUAAGACAAUAGAACGGUGGUCAAGGAAGUCGAAAUUCGCUAAGGAGUGUGUAACAACUCAUCUACCGAAUCAACUAGCCCAAAAAAUGGAUGGCGCUAAAGCGUGCAAUCUAUACCCGACUGUUGGGGCAAGGACCACGCCUGGAUAAGUAGGAGGACGCGACAAUCACUUCAAAAUCCAAGGUGCGAGCCCCGACAAAGCGUUUGUCGGUGAAAAUCUUGGUGCUAGUAGCAAAUAUUCAAAUGAGAAUUUUGAAGGCUAAAGAGGGGGAAAGGUUCCAUUUGAAUGACACUUGCAUAUGGGUUAGAUGAUCUUAAGGGAUGGGGGAAGCCCCUUAGGAUUAACGAGAUUCCCAUUGUCCCUGUCUACUAUCCAGCAAAACCACAACCAAGGGAACAUACUUGGCGGAAUAAACGGGGAAAGAAGACCCUAUUGAGUUGAACUCUAGUUCGCUUUGUGAAAUGACUUGAGAGGUAUAGGAUAAGUGGGAGCUGGAAACAGUGAAAGUGAAAUACCACUACUUUUAACGUUCUUUUACUUAUUCCAUGAAUCGGAAGUGGGGCACUACCACUUUUUUUGGACCCAAGGUCGACUUCAGUCUGUCAAUUCGGGCAGAAGACAUUGUCAGGUGGGGAGUUUGUCUGGGGCAGCACAUAUGUUAAAAGAUAACAUAAGUGUCCUAAGAUGAGCUCAACGAGAACAAAAAUCUCAUGUGGAACAAAAGGAUAAAAGCUUGUUUGAUUUUGAUUUCCAGUACGAAUACAAACCAUGAAAGUGGGGUCUAUCGAUCCUUUAGUCUUUCAAAUUUUGAAGCUAGAGGUGUUAGAAAAGUUACCAUAGGAAUAAAUGGCUUAUGGCAGCCAAGCGUUCAUAGAUAUGUUGCUUUUUGAUCCUAUGAUGUUGGCUUUCCCUAUCAUUAUGAAGCAAAAUUCACCAAGUGUUGGAUUUUUCACCCACCAAUAGGGAAUGUGAGUUGGGUUUAGACCUAGUACGAGAGGACAUGUUAGUUUUACCCUAUUAAUGAUAGUGUCAGAAUAGUAAUUCAACCUAGUACAAGAGAAACUGUUGAUUCACACAAUUGGUCAUCGUGCUUGGUUGAAAAGCCAGUGGCGUGAAACUAUCGUGCGUUGGAUUAUGACUGAAUGCUUCUAAGUUAGAAUCUGAGCUAGAAGUAACGCAUGCGCUAACUGUCUGUUUGUCGAAUAGUAGUAGGUGGUCUCGGCGCCCCAAAGGCACGUGUUGUUGGUGACCCUUGUAAGGAGAAUUAGCCUUCUGAGACGCCUUGAAGCGUAAUUCCCAUUGAGUGACAGGUAAAAUCCUUUGUAGAAGACUUAAAUAUGCGAUGGGGUAUUAUAAGUGGUAGAGUGACCUUGCUUCCAUGAUCAACUGAGAUUUAGCCCUUUUCAUUUUGAUUUGU